rnacentral:rRNA from 1 species
AGUGAACGCUGGCGGUAGGCCUAACACAUGCAAGUCGAACGGCAGCACAGUAAGAGCUUGCUCUUACGGGUGGCGAGUGGCGGACGGGUGAGGAAUACAUCGGAAUCUACUUUUUCGUGGGGGAUAACGUAGGGAAACUUACGCUAAUACCGCAUACGACCUACGGGUGAAAGCAGGGGAUCUUCGGACCUUGCGCGAUUGAAUGAGCCGAUGUCGGAUUAGCUAGUUGGCGGGGUAAAGGCCCACCAAGGCGACGAUCCGUAGCUGGUCUGAGAGGAUGAUCAGCUACACUGGAACUGAGACACGGUCCAGACUCCUACGGGAGGCAGCAGUGGGGAAUAUUGGACAAUGGGCGCAAGCCUGAUCCAGCCAUACUGCGCGGGUGAAGAAGGCCUUCGGGUUGUAAAGCCCUUUUGUUGGGAAAGAAAAGCAGCAGGUUAAUACCCCGCUGUUCUGACGGUACCCAAAGAAUAAGCACCGGCUAACUUCGUG